UCUGGCCAUAAUGAGAGAGCUUUUGGGCAAGCAUGUCGCGGAGAGUGGCGCCACGUAGUGGCCAUUUGCACAACUCAAUGUAAUGUUUUCGAACAAAGCACUUUGUCUGGAUAACAGUUCCACAUCUGUGCACACAUACGUGAGGUUUUACUAGAGGGCCCAAAAUGAGAGAAAUAACAAAGUAGCGUACACUGUACAUUGUAUACACGUAAAGAAAAGAGAGGGGAGAGAAAAAGGAAGUCAAUGAUAAUAGAGCAUAAUCACGAUAAUCGUCGGCCCUCUACGAGACCGAAGGAGGGGGGCCACCACACAAUCCAAUAUGAAAACUAG